rnacentral:misc_RNA from 1 species
UGGUUCUGGCAUNGAUGAAGAACGCAGCGAAAUGCGAUAAGUAAUGUGAAUUGCAGAAUUCAGUGAAUCAUCGAAUCUUUGAACGCACAUUGCGCCCUCUGGUAUUCCGGGGGGCAUGCCUGUUCGAGCGUCAUUAUACCAAUCACGCAAGUGGUGUUGGGGCCUGCCGUCGGCAGCCCUUAAAAGCAGUGGCAGUGCCAUAGGCUCUCAGCGCAGUAAUUCUUCCGCUCUCGAGUCCUAGAAGCACCCGCCAAAACCCUAAUCUUUCUUAGGUUGACCUCGGAUCAGGUAGGGAUACCCGCUGA